ACAAGUAAAGAAAAAGAUAGUAGUGGCACAUCACGUAUUUGUUUUUAAAACAGUAUAUUUUUUAUAACAGUGACUUAACAUGUUUGCUUAACUAUAUUUACGUGUACACAUAUAUACAUAUAUGUACGACUUUUUAAUUAUUAUAGGAUUUGUGUUAGCAUUUAAGCUAUUUGUAGCUUAUCUGUCUAUUGCGUUACUUAUACUGUUUAUAACAUCACGAGGUUACGCAUCUAGCUGUAGAAAAAAAAUCAUUUCAUGUGUAUUUUUGUGUCUUGUAAGUGAAUUAAUAUUUAGAAAAAUAAUUACGUUAUUUCAAGUAUACCUACGCCUUCAAGUUAAUACAAAAGUAGUUAACUACUCGACACAAGGGAUAAGAUAUGCCUUUGCUUUACUUGCUUUCAAAAUUUUAAUUACAACAGUCAUGACGUAUAAAGAACCGGUUAAAGCAAUAGAAGAAGAAUUGAGGUGCAUCAAAAAUCUUAUAGAAAAGAAUGAAAAAAAUAAAAACAAAUAUAAAGAAAUUAGAGAGAUGAACGAAACAAUCUUUAAUCAAAUAGACCAAGAGACAGGUAUAAAAAAAAAAUAA
rnacentral:lncRNA from 1 species